CUACGUGCCAGCAGCCGCGGUAAUACGGAGGGUGCGAGCGUUAAUCGGAAUAACUGGGCGUAAAGGGCACGCAGGCGGUGACUUAAGUGAGGUGUGAAAGCCCCGGGCUUAACCUGGGAAUUGCAUUUCAUACUGGGUCGCUAGAGUACUUUAGGGAGGGGUAGAAUUCCACGUGUAGCGGUGAAAUGCGUAGAGAUGUGGAGGAAUACCGAAGGCGAAGGCAGCCCCUUGGGAAUGUACUGACGCUCAUGUGCGAAAGCGUGGGGAGCAAGCAGGAUUAGAUACCCUGGUAGUCCACGCUGUAAACGAUGUCGAUUUGGGGGUUGAGCUUUAAGCUUGGCGCCCGUAGCUAACGUGAUAAAUCGACCGCCUGGGGAGUACGGCCGCAAGGUUAAAACUCAAAUGAAUUGACGGGGGCCCGCACAAGCGGUGGAGCAUGUGGUUUAAUUCGAUGCAACGCGAAGAACCUUACCUACUCUUGACAUCCAGAGAACAUUC
rnacentral:rRNA from 1 species